GCAUGAUCAUGAUUUGAUUCCUUAUAUAGAGUUGGCAUUAUGGUCGUCAAUGGUGUGAGCGACUGGUUCCAUGCAGCCUGUACCGCUCCAGAUUCUGUCCAAUACGAUAGAACACACCCUCCACUCUGGGGGGAGGGGGGUAUAACAUGUUCAAUGCAUGCAUUUAAUUAGGGAUCAUUUAAUUUCCAAUGGUAGACUCUACCUGGACAUCUAAAAGGUGGCCACCCAGGAGGAGAAAGCUAACACAAUCGUGUGAUUAUUUGUGUGCUUGAGUGGGUUUGUCUGACAGAAUGUGUACCAUCACCACAAUCAAUUUGUGUAUAGGAAGCUAAGCCUACACCACAUAUGCAUGCUUGGUCAGUGACUCAUUACUGUCUAAUGAGGGUCUAGCCACACCAAUUAGCUUCAAAUCUCCCUAGCAUAAUUAUGUUUCUACCCGUGCAAGCAAACAAGCCACAUCUUUAUUACAGCCACCUGUUGGUCUGCCCCACUGUGACCACCAUAAACAAGUUUCUCAGAACUGAGCUCAUCACUAUAAUUCACAUGCAUGUACGUGCAUGUAUGAUCACGGUGGAACCUCCGACGAGGAGUGGUGAUACGAAUGGUCCUCGGGGGAACCAAUACAUCCAACAAGUCAACUGUGUUAGCCUGUGUAUAUUUCAUUAUGAUCAUUAUGAGUCAAGCUAAAGCACUCAGACAAAGAUUUACCAAGAAAUCGUGUCACAUUGGUAUGAAGAAGCUCAUCUCGAUUAUAGAAGCAUCUAAAAAGGCAAGUAUUUAUACUGUACUGUAUGUUCAAUGGUGUGUUGUGUGUACAUGUACAUUACCUGUGUAGCCAUUGUGCAUGCAGUAUAGCAGUAAAUAAUUAUGCUCGUCCACUGCAGGGAGAUAGUUAUGAUGUGGACAUGAUCGUAAGGAGGUUAGAAAUUGAAGGACACCUCACCAACUAAACUAUUGAUAGCAUUAAUUGCUGCCACUUUCUAAGACAUCUCUGAAUAUUUUAUUUUAGUUUUGCGUUCUAUACAUUUUAGCUGGAUUUCCUAUAAUUAUUAUUGUUAUUUA